UCCAGACUCCUACGGGAGGCAGCAGUGGGGAAUAUUGCACAAUGGGGGGAACCCUGAUGCAGCGAUGCCGCGUGGAGGAAGAAGGUUUUCGGAUUGUAAACUCCUUUUAUCAGGGACGAUAAUGACGGUACCUGAAGAAAAAGCUCCGGCUAACUACGUGCCAGCGGCCGCGGUAAUACGUAGGGAGCGAGCGUUGUCCGGAAUUACUGGGUGUAAAGGGAGCGUAGGCGGGACGGCAAGUCAGAUGUGAAAACUGAGGGCUCAACUUUCAGACUGCAUUUGAAACUGCUGUUCUUGAGUGAAGUAGAGGUAAGCGGAAUUCCUAGUGUAGCGGUGAAAUGCGUAGAUAUUAGGAGGAACAUCGGUGGCGAAAGCGCUUUACUGGACCAUUAUUGACGCUGAGGAACGAAAGCCAGGGGAGCAAAUGGGAUUAGAUACCCCCGUAGA
rnacentral:rRNA from 1 species